UACGAAGGGUGCAAACGUUGCUCGGAAUCAUUGGGCGUAAAGCGCACGUAGGCGGCUUCGCAAGUCGGAUGUGAAAUCCCUCGGCUCAACCGAGGACGUGCAUCCGAAACUGCGGAGCUUGAGUACUGAAGAGGAUCGCGGAAUUCCCGGUGUAGAGGUGAAAUGCGUAGAUAUGUGGAGGAAUACCGAUGGCGAAGGCAGCCUCCUGGGCCGAACACUGACGCUCAUGCACGAAAGCGUGGGGAGCAAACAGG
rnacentral:rRNA from 1 species